rnacentral:rRNA from 1 species
AUGUGGCAUAGGCCGACUAUUACUUGGAUCGCGCCCCUACCCUUGAAGAUCAAAAUAUUUGUGUGGCAAUUGUUGAGGGAUCGCCUCCCAUCAUGGACAGAGGUACUCAAGAGGAAUGGCCCGGGCAAUGGGUUAUGUCCCCUUUGUGGGGUACCGGAGACGGAGGCCCACAUCCUCUUCUCAUGCACAUCGGCUGGCGCUUUGGAGUUUUGUCUGGACGGCGCUCGGGCCCUAUUGGGAGGCUCCGAACCUAGUCGGAUUCCUCCAGUCCAUAGCGGUCCAGACCGGUAG